rnacentral:lncRNA from 1 species
CCCCACACCGGAACUAGGCCCCCCGCCCGCUGUGAGUGAGCCCCCCGCUGCGUGGGCGGGCUGCUGCGCUGGCCGGAAGACAGGAGCCCCUGCCAUGCGUCCCCACUCCCCUGGGCCUGCAGUUCCAACCAAAGUGGCCCCCAGCUAAGAUUCCCGCAGAGAUUGAGGAAGAGCGGCAGAGUCUGGUACGUGAUAUGAGACGUCCUGCAUGAUUCCCAAAGACCUCCAGACAUCGGAGCACAUUCUUGCUUUUUGCUGGGGUGCAUGUUUUUGUCGGUUUCCACAGCCUCACAUCUGCAUCUCAGGGAGCAAUGCAUCAGGCUAUCAUUGGCACGGCAACUAGGUGGCCCAGUCAGAACAGCUCAUAGACACACAGCCUCUAUCCCUAC